rnacentral:rRNA from 1 species
AGAGUUUGAUCAUGGCUCAGAUUGAACGCCUGUUAGGAAGGCCUAACACAUGCAAGUCGAACGGUAACAGGUCUUCGGAUGCUGACGAGUGGCGAACGGGUGAGUAAUGCAUCGGAACGUGCCCAGUCGUGGGGGAUAACGCAGCGAAAGCUGUGCUAAUACCGCAUACGAUCUAUGGAUGAAAGCGGGGGAUCGCAAGACCUCGCGCGAUUGGAGCGGCCGAUGUCAGAUUAGCUAGUUGGUGGGGUAAAGGCCCACCAAGGCGACGAUCUGUAGCUGGUCUGAGAGGACGACCAGCCACACUGGGACUGAGACACGGCCCAGACUCCUACGGGAGGCAGCAGUGGGGAAUUUUGGACAAUGGGCGCAAGCCUGAUCCAGCAAUGCCGCGUGCAGGAAGAAGGCCUUCGGGUUGUAAACUGCUUUUGCACGGAACGAAAAGGUCUGGGUUAAUACCCUGGGCUCAUGACGGUACCGUAAGAAUAAGCACCGGCUAACUACGUGCCAGCAGCCGCGGUAAUACGUAGGGUGCAAGCGUUAAUCGGAAUUACUGGGCGUAAAGCGUGCGCAGGCGGUUUUGUAAGACAGGCGUGAAAUCCCCGGGCUCAACCUGGGAAUGGCGCUUGUGACUGCAA